GGUGAACGCUGGCGGCGUGCCUAAUACAUGCAAGUCGAGCGAACGGACGAGAAGCUUGCUUCUCUGAUGUUAGCGGCGGACGGGUGAGUAACACGUGGAUAACCUACCUAUAAGACUGGGAUAACUUCGGGAAACCGGAGCUAAUACCGGAUGAUAUUUUGAACCGCAUGGUUCAAAAGUGAAAGACGGUCUUGCUGUCACUUAUAGAUGGAUCCGCGCUGCAUUAGCUAGUUGGUAAGGUAACGGCUUACCAAGGCAACGAUGCAUAGCCGACCUGAGAGGGUGAUCGGCCACACUGGAACUGAGACCCGGUCCAGACUCCUACGGGAGGCAGCAGUAGGGAAUCUUCCGCAAUGGGCGAAAGCCUGACGGAGCAACGCCGCGUGAGUGAUGAAGGUCUUCGGAUCGUAAAACUCUGUUAUUAGGGAAGAACAUAUGUGUAAGUAACUGUGCACAUCUUGACGGUACCUAAUCAGAAAGCCACGGCUAACUACGUG
rnacentral:rRNA from 1 species